rnacentral:rRNA from 1 species
UUUGGCGGUAAUUUAACUUUUCAGAGGAACCUGUCCUGUAAUUGAUAAUCCACAAUAAAUUUUACUUUUAUUAUGUUUAUAUAUCUCUAUCAUUGAAUGUCUUUUGAAGGAAAUUUUCUAAAUGAUUUUUUAAUCAAAAUGUUAGGUCAAGGUUUAAUAAUAUAAAAGUAGAGAUGGGUUACAUUAUUUUUAUAUGAGGAAAAUUGUAUGGAAAUAUAUUUGAAUUUGGAUUUGAUAGUAAAUUAUUUUAAAAUAAAUAUUUGAUAUUAGCUCUAUAUUAUGCACACAUCGCCCGUCGCUCUCAAUAU